ACGUUUUAUAAUAAAAGUUACGACAUGGUCAAUGUUUCAUGGACUUGUGAUGCAAUUCAAUAACUCGAUAUACACCACAUGACGAAACCAUCAUGCUAAAAUCUUACUAAAGUUUAAUACGGUGCACCAAACGAGGCCUUUAAACCGAACCCAAGUGACCUGGCCCAACAGCAACCGAUAUGUCCAAUCCAUUAUUAUGGAGGGAAGGCACUCGAGAUGGAGCUCACAGCCACGGCCCCGCGAUCUGCUAAGAAAAAUCAGAGAAUUUGCUCUAGCUAUGAUUGAAGAUCUCAGCAAUGGACGGUCUCCGGAGAUUUUCAUCGAUCGCUUCAGAAAUUACUGCACGAAUCCCGAUUCAAAUUGCUAUUGUAGUUUUGAUUCACCGAAAGGGCAGGAGAUUCUCACGCUUCGAAGAACAAGCCAUGUGCGUAGAUUAGGGUUUUGUUGAUUAUUCAGCAACUUCUGCAAGAAAACAGACAUGGAUCUAAGGCCUGAUUUGGUACUGAGCACAGCAGAAACAGUUUUUUUUAAAGCACAACAAUACCAAACCAGCCCUAAGAGGGAUAUCUAUUACAUGCAUCCUUCUAUAUUUUCAGGUGAUCUGAGUUAUCUUUCAUUUCCAGUGUCAAAGCAUAAUCCAUACUAUAUGAUAUAGUUCGUUAAGGGACCUUGAACUUGGAUUAUGAUAAAUUGUAUUCUUUGUAAAUUUAGUAAACCUUGACAAAUGCAAUAUAUUUUGGGCCUUAUAUUUUUCAUAUCAUCAUGGAGAACACAGGAUUUCUGUUUAGACAUGAUCUUUAAUAAUUUGAAGUUCUUGAUGUGGUAUGUUCGCGGUCUCUCCAUGUAAGUAGUAAUAUUUUCUGCUUAAAUUACAAUGCGGAUCAGUCAGUCGUAGACCGUGCAAUCAAUGACAUAUGCAUCCUUCUGCAUUGUAGUCGCCACAAUUUGAAUGUCGUGGGUACUCCGAUUUUUUCCAUUGCUAUUUUAUUUAUAUUAUUGUACUCGAGCCUGUUAUGUACGAUUAGUAUAAUAGCAUUUUGAUAAGCCUGCUCAUAAUUUUGUGGUAUUUAUUUCAUGUUCCUCCUUUUGACAGGUGUCUGUAGGAAAGGGGUACGUAUGAAAAAUUUCGCUUGAUUUUCAAAGAAAAGAAGAUAAUGGUGUACUUUCCUGUUUGAUUUUGUAUGAAAAUGACUAAUGCCAAUACUUACACCUUUAAAUGCGCGCAUUCCUGGUUUUAUUGAAUACUUUGUUAAUCUUGAGUUGAUCGACUUCCUCCCCUGUGGUAGCAUUAGAUUUUCGUGGCAUUGAUAACAAUGAUAACAAUUCACAUAUUGUCAAACCAGAAUGUUAAAUGACAUGCUUUAUAGGUUGGUAAUGGGCUGGUUAAGGUUCUUAGAAGCUGGAAAUGUAUUUGAUUGCAUAAAUAGGCCCAACACAGUAAGAAUGGAUCUAAUUUGAUUUUUUUAAAUGAUUUGAUGAUAUCUUCUUCAUUGUCGCCUUACUGUGUCUGAACUUAAAACUUUGCAUCUGGUUCACAUACAGGCCUUCCCUGUCCCUAUUCAUGUUGAAGAGGUUAAAGGUAUCCAGAUGAUUAAGAGAGAAUAAUUAAAUUUCCGUGUUUAGAAACAAUGUUAUUCAAUUUUGAUAAUCUAAAUGUUAUAAACGCAUUGCUAAUCCUUAUAGACCAACCCUAAGUGUCCAAAGAAAGAAAACUCAAACCUUUAAUUCUAACAUGCAGAUAUUGUCAGUGUAGCUCGGUACAUACUUGUUGUGGAGAAAGAAUCAGGUAUACCAUUUUUUUUUUUUUUUUUGUAACUCUGACGCUUUAGCAUGAUAGAGCUUGAUUUUGAUACGUGCUUCCAUCAACAAACCAUCAUUUGUUUAUAUAUUUGUACAAUUUUUCAAUGAUUGGCAAAUGACCAGUUUUGCAACAAAAACCAUUGCAUCGUUACCACCGGGCGUGGCUAUCCUGAUAUUCCCACAAGAAGGUAAAGAGUCCCCAUCAAACUUAAAAUGGGAGUAGGUUUUUGGGGCUCCUUGUUGAUACUCUGCAUCUCCCUAUCUAUUGCUUGGUAGAUUGUGAUCCGUACGGUUUUGACAUCCUCUCGAUGUAUCGGUUUGGUUCUAUGGUUAGGCUUGCUGAUUAAUCCGUUAAAUUGUUAUCUACUUUUUGCCAAGUUGACUAGCAUGUGAACUACCUAGGAAAACUGCACAUAUUGAAGAUUAAGAAGUGCUGAAGAAGUCAAUUGUUUUGUAGACUGCUCCUACAUUGUAACGAAGCUCAAGUUUAUAUCAAUUUAACGCACUCCCAUUGUUAUGUAAGCAAAUGGUCUAUGAUGCAAAAUUUCUACGCGUCCCCGAGGUACUCUGGCUUGGAGCCUUCCCUUCGGACUCAGACAAGUACGGUCUUCCACAACAGUGUCUCCUUCAUUUGACGGUAGAAGGUGAGAGAUAUGGUGCUUUACAUUGGCAUUUCUUUGUUUGUAACCUUCCUGAGGUUCUUCAUGCCAGACAAGAGGAAAACGGAGGCCAUGCUACUUCGAUGCUACUUACAGAAUGAAGCGCCGCCAGUGGAGAUUGGAGCUACAGUUGAUGCUGGAAAGAGGAGUGAAGUUUGAGUUAGAAGCGUUGUCUGUGCACGAACUUAACUAUUUGUCGGAGGUGUACAUACCAUCUAAACUUCAAGGUGGAGUCCACAUCUAACACCAUCUAAAUCUGUAUUACUUAGAUUGUAGGAUAAACGAAAUUAUCGGAUUUCUGCAAAGCAUAAUCAACAUUUGCAUUUGCAAACCAUUGUUAAGUGGACAAACAAUGAUCUGAAAACACAAAACUGGAAUGCCACAAUAAUUAGUGAUGUAAUUCCUUUGUGAUUAUGGUGCGCUAUCGUUUUUACCUUUUUA